ensembl:lncRNA
CUGUAGAGAGGAGAACCCAUUCUGCGUUAAUGGGACUGGAUUUUAUGCCUGCCUGCAGAGCACCCAUACUCUGUGCUGGUGCCAGCCCUCGGGUAGCUCUGGGGUGUGGAUGCCUGCAUUGGUGCCCUGGGGGCUGUGCAAAUGGAGUGCCCUACUGGACUGCCCUCUCAAGAGCUGAGUCUGCUGCUGCUCCAGAUGCAGAGGGAUUGUGUUUAAAGACUAUAAUCUUGUUGAGGCUCAGAUACUGGAGAUUGAGUCUAUAACGGCACGGGAAACAACUUCUAUGAAGAAUUGGGAAUUGAAUUAAAUAAUUGCAUUUAUUGAUGAGAAAUUAUAUUUAACAAUGGAGAAC